CUGAGGCGUGAUGACGAGGCACUACGGUGCUGAAGCAACAAAUGCCCUGCUUCCAGGAAAAGCCUCUAAGCAUCAGGUAACAUCAAAUCGUACCCCAAACCGACACAGGUGGUCAGGUAGAGAAUACCAAGGCGCUUGAGAGAACUCGGGUGAAGGAACUAGGCAAAAUGGUGCCGUAACUUCGGGAGAAGGCACGCUGACAUGUAGGUGAAGUGAUUUACUCAUGGAGCUGAAGUCAGUCGAAG
rnacentral:rRNA from 5 species